AUUGAACGCUGGCGGCAGGCCUAACACAUGCAAGUCGAACGGUAACAGGAAGCAGCUUGCUGCUUCGCUGACGAGUGGCGGACGGGUGAGUAAUGUCUGGGAAACUGCCUGAUGGAGGGGGAUAACUACUGGAAACGGUAGCUAAUACCGCAUAACGUCGCAAGACCAAAGAGGGGGACCUUAGGGCCUCUUGCCAUCGGAUGUGCCCGGAUGGGAUUAGCUAGUAGGUGGGGUGACGGCUCACCUAGGCGACGAUCCCUAGCUGGUCUGAGAGGAUGACCAGCCACACUGGAACUGAGACACGGUCCAGACUCCUACGGGGGGCAGCAGUGGGGAAUAUUGCACAAUGGGCGCAAGCCUGAUGCAGCCAUGCCGCGUGUAUGAAGAAGGCCUUCGGGUUGUAAAGUACUUUCAGCGGGGAGGAAGGGAGUAAAGUUAAUACCUUUGCUCAUUGACGUUACCCGCAGAAGAAGCACCGGCUAACUCCGUG
rnacentral:rRNA from 1 species